CAGAAGCCAGAAGAAAGAGGGAACGGUCCAGUCCUCAACAAGAUCGGCGGAGAGAGAGAGAGAGAGAGAGAGCAAAGAUGAAGGGCGGCGGCAAGAAGUUCGGCGGCGGGCGGCUGCCGACGGGGACCCCGUCGCUGGCCUGGUCAUCGGUGGUCGUGGUGGCCUCCCUCCUCGCAGGGGCCUCCGUCGUCCACAACGUCUACAAGCCCGACAUGACCAUUCCGCCGGUAGAGAGUGCUGACGGCGGACGCGGCGGCAAUGACGGCAAGCAGAACUGAGCUGGUUUCACGGAGAGCGCCGGUGGAGACGGAUUCUGUUCCUUUGCAAGAACCAUGUUCUGCAUUGCACUGCCAUCUGCGUGCCUCCAACCGUUUCUGGCAGCGCAUCUUGUUGUGCUUACCAGAGGAGCACAGCAUUCUGCUGCUCGUUACCCAUUGGAAUCAAACUAACAUUGUAUGAUUUACGUAUCUUAUUCAAAGGGAUUUAGUGUUUGCAGGA